rnacentral:rRNA from 1 species
GCAAGUCGAACGAGAAAGGGAUCUUCGGAUCCUGAGUAGAGUGGCGCACGGGUGAGUAACACGUGGAUAAUCUACCUGAUGAUCUGGGAUAACAUUUCGAAAGGGAUGCUAAUACCGGAUAAGCCUACGAUUCCCUAGGGUUUAGUAGGAAAAGAUGGCCUCUUCUUGAAAGCUAUUGUCAUUAGAUGAGUCCGCGGUCCAUUAGCUAGUUGGUGGGGUAAUGGCCUACCAAGGCUACGAUGGAUAGCUGGUCUGAGAGGAUGAUC